UACGGAGGGAGCUAGCGUUGUUCGGAAUUACUGGGCGUAAAGCGCACGUAGGCGGCUUUGUAAGUUAGAGGUGAAAGCCUGGGGCUCAACUCCAGAAUUGCCUUUAAGACUGCAUCGCUUGAAUCAUGGAGAGGCGAGUGGAAUUCCGAGUGUAGAGGUGAAAUUCGUAGAUAUUGGGAAGAACACCGGUGGCGAAGGCGGCAACCUGGUCCUUUACUGACGCUGAGGCGCGAAAGCGUGGGAGCAAACAGG
rnacentral:rRNA from 1 species